rnacentral:lncRNA from 1 species
GAUGUUGCAAGGAUCAAAAAUAGCCUCUGGUAACUGCGAGAAGAUCUGUUUAUAGAGUUCCGGCCUUCACACCACCUGCAGAAUAUUCCUGAAUCAUCUUGUCUACCAUAUAAAUUCCUGAUUGAUGGUGAUCGUAGUAAUCAUCUUCACUGUCGUCAACAUCUUCAAUUGAGUGCAUAGCAUUUACAAGGAAGAUGCUGGGUUUUGAAACUACCCCCCCCCCACCUUCACUGGU